GUAGACUAAAUAUUCAAAUGAGAACUUUGAAGGCCGAAGUGGAGAAGGGUUCCAUGAGAACAGCAUUUGGUCAUGGGUUACUCGCUCCUAAGACAUAGGGAAAUUCCUUGUAAUACACGUGCUCUUACGAGUACGAAGUCGAAAGGGAAUGAGGUUAAUAUUCCUCAAGUAGGGGUGUGGGGAUGAAAUGUGGCAACACAAAAUGAGCUUGGAGACAUCGGUAUGUACCCCUGGAAGAGUUCUCUUUUCUUCUUAACAGUUUAUCUCCCUGAAUGAAUUAUUCAGAGAUAGGGAUGUAUAACUGGCAGAGCAGCUCACUUUCGGGCUGUCAGGUGUGUUCAUAACGAUCCUUGAAAAUCCAAGGGGAGAUGUUCAUAUCCCCCCCUAGGCGUACCCAUAACCGCAUCAGGUCUCCAAGGUUAGCAGCCUCUGGUC
rnacentral:rRNA from 1 species